GAUGAACGCUAGCGGCAGGCUUAAUACAUGCAAGUCGUGGGGCAGCAGGUUUGUAGCAAUACAGAUGCUGGCGACCGGCGAACGGGUGCGGAACACGUACAGAACCUUCCUUUGAGCGGGGAAUAGCCCAGAGAAAUUUGGAUUAAUACCCCAUAGUAUAAUGAAGUGGCAUCACUUUAUUAUUAAAGAUUUAUCACUCGAAGAUGGCUGUGCGGCUGAUUAGGUAGUUGGCGGGGUAAAGGCCACCAAGCCUGCGAUCAGUAACUGGUGUGAGAGCACGACCAGUCACACGGGCACUGAGACACGGGCCCGACUCCUACGGGAGGCAGCAGUAAGGAAUAUUGGUCAAUGGAGGCAACUCUGAACCAGCCAUGCCGCGUGGAGGAUGAAGGUCCUCUGGAUUGUAAACUUCUUUAUAUGGGACGAAAAAAGGCUUUUCUAAGUCGUCUGACGGUACCAUAUGAAUAAG
rnacentral:rRNA from 1 species